rnacentral:sRNA from 1 species
UCACAGGAAGAAUCUCAAAUAUGGGAGGAAGUGAACAUACCUUGGUUGUCUUAGGAGGGAAAAAAAAAGAGUCAGAGUCACAGUGUCACAAUGAUUAAAGAAAAAGUUGGGGCUGGCAGCAGCCGACACCCUUUCUAUUGGUGAAAGACUUCUGUAGAGAAUGUGGCCAAAGAGACACCUAGGCUCAUAAAGGCCAGAAUUCUGACUCCAUGUUCUAUGAGGUCACAAGAGCUAAUUCUCCAGCAUAGCUGAAAGUUCCAAUGUCAAGUUCUCUGGGGACACAGAAUACUAGAGUGCUGCAGACAUGGAGCUCUGCCCUUCCUCCAGCCCCAGCCUGCGCACCUUAGCUCUGGCUGCCCCUUCUGUGCAUCAGCUGGAAUUCCCCAGGAGGUAGAGGAGGUUUUGCACAGGGGAAGGCCGUCAAUCACCGGAACUGGGAGGGUAGGACCGUGCUGAGAGGGGAACCCAAGUUCUCAUUCAGGGUGGAGCAACAGCUAAGUCCUGACCAACCUGAGGCAGGCUCGACCUGAUGAAGGGACAGCUCAUCGGGAUCCCUUGUAGUAGCUGGCUCCCCUACAGUCUGGAAUGCCUCAGGGCCAACGUGGGAUCAAGCAGGAAAAGGAAACUGCUGGAUUAACUGUGCCAAACUCAAAUCACUAUGUUCAGUGAAUUACAAGGAGCCAAAGGAAAUGAUGAGGGUAGAUAAGAGACUAAGGUGAACCAAAUGUCCCUAGAGGCUCUAACUGCUGUAUGCGCUUGAUCCCACCAUCCUACUAUCCCUUGUGCCAUAGGUGAGCAUGUGACGAGCGACUACUUGGAGCCAAACAUUUAUGUCCUCCUGAGUCAACUUGUGAAGCUACACACAUGAGACAGUGUGGGUAUGCUGCAUAAUCAGGUUCUUCCUUGAAGACCACUCAUCUCGCUGGUUGAUUCUUGAUGAGGCAGGUGGCAGGAGCUUGGCUUGUUUGAACCCUUCAGGGUCAGAAGUGGAGCAAGAAGACUAGGUUCUCAGAUACUGAGCUAUAAUCACCAACGUUCCUGCAACCUGCUAUUGAUUUCCAAGAAGGACAACUUCUGCCCAGUGGAUGUUGAAUCUCUGACAGAUUAAGUGGGAAGGCACACAGCAGUUCUUUGUUCUAUGCCAGGGAGGCCCGAUGCAACUCAAGUGAGUCAAACCUUCAGAGACCCCCUCUUAAGCAUCGCCAUGGUGAAGGGGCUCCAUCUGUUUCUGUGACAGUAAUCCUACCUCACCUUCUUAAAGUCUGCUCUAGUAAAAACUUAAGAAAAGGGAUUUUUUUCUGUCUAUG